CCUACGGGGCGCAGCAGUGGGGAAUAUUGGGCAAUGGGCGCAAGCCUGACCCAGCAACGCCGCGUGAAGGAAGAAGGCUUUCGGGUUGUAAACUUCUUUUCUGAGGGACGAAGGAAGUGACGGUACCUCCGGAAUAAGCCACGGCUAACUACGUGCCAGCAGCCGCGGUCAUACGUAGGUGGCAAGCGUUAUCCGGAUUUAUUGGGUGUAAAGGGCGUGUAGGCGGGAAUGCAAGUCUGAUGUGAAAACUAUGUGCUCAACCCAUAUCCUGCACUUGAAACUGUGUUUCUUUAGUGCU
rnacentral:rRNA from 1 species